rnacentral:rRNA from 1 species
AAUGAACGUUGGCGGCGUGGAUUAGGCAUGCAAGUCGAGCGAGAAGCACCAGCUUGCUGGUGUGGACAGCGGCGAAAGGGAGAGUAAUACGUAGAAAUCUGCCCCGGAGUCUGGGAUAGCGUUGGGAAACUGGCGGUAAUACCGGAUAACGUCUUCGGACCAAAGAAUUUCGCUCUGGGAUGAGUCUACGACCUACUAGCUAGUUGGCGGGGUAACGGCCCACCAAGGCAACGAUGGGUAGCGGGUGUGAGAGCAUGAUCCGCCUCACUGGGACUGAGACACUGCCCAGACAUCUACGGAUGGCUGCAGUCGAGAAUCUUUGUCAAUGGACGAAAGUCUGAACAAGCGACGCCGCGUGCGGGAUGAAGGCCCUCGGGUUGUAAACCGCUGUCAGAGGGAAGGAAAUUUUGACUGAACCUCAGAGGAAGGACGGGCUAAGUUCGUGCCAGCCGCCGCCGUAACAC